AGCUCAUACACCACCUUCAUUAGAUGUACAAAACCUCACAGAUUUGCCAUGAUUGAUUGAAUAUUUUUUAGCAAAAACUACUUGUCUCUACUCCCUUUCCCUCCAGAGCAGAAUCAGCUUCCCCAUCCCCAUCUGGCUUGGCCACAUGACUCACUUUGGCCAAUGGAAGAGAAGACCACAGUGACAGUUUUGAGCACUGGCUUCAAGGUCUUCAUGUGUCUGCCCUACUGGGAGCUCGUGCUCCAGUAGCCAGUGAACCUUCACUGUGGGUCCUGGAAGAAGGUGUGCAGGAGAGACAUAUGUCUUGAAGCUGAUAUUCAGCAUAAAGGGGAGUCACCGCCGCUGACCUACACACAGAAGCGAAAGCAGCAAUGGAGACUCGAGCUAGACUUCUUCAUAACAAAACUCCUUAAGAGGACUUAGCAGCCCUACUGCCAAGCAACAGACCCUUUGGCUGAACCAUCGUGGAGCAGUGUGCUGGAGGAACCAGCUGUACCCAUCUCUUCCUGGCUCUGCUUUUGGGGACACCAGGGUUAUCCAGUGUCCUGAUUUGUACACCUACCUGGAUUGGGCAAGAAGCAUGCGGCCAACCUAGAAACCGAGUACCACAGACCUGGAAAAUCACCCAGGGCAGGAAGAAGAAGUCAACGUGGCCACCCAACUCCAGAGCCAAGGGCAACACAGAGAGCGGCCAGUGCUCUCUCUGCCUGGAGUUAUUUAUUACUAACAUGGAGUAAAAAAGCUUUUCAUAUGUUUUCUCUGUGAGCACUUCAUGAAGCCAAAGUUUGAAGGGAAAGGGGAAGUAUGAAAACCUGAAACCUCAUGUGAAUAAACGAGUAUACUUAGCUACAGCCAUGUGUAAUCAAACUUGAAGGCAGUAGUUGUUUCUAGAUUGAAUAUGAAAUCUAUUUCAUUAAAGGCAAUUUUAUUAUUUUCUACCUCUGGAUUUUUGGUUUUGAUCUAGUGAUUUUACUGCCUGGAAAACCGUGAAGGGGAGGAUAAAAGUUAUAGCUGUCUCUAGCUCACAGUAUCUUAAUGUAGGUAUUGAUCUCUUUUUCAGCGUUAGCAAACCCAGCUAAAUCCUAGCCUGUUUUUAUAUAGUCUGUGAACUAAGAAUUGUUGUUAGAUAUUUAAAAGAGCAGAAAAAACCAAAAGGAAAAUAAUAUUUUGUGACAUGUGAAAAUUAUAUGAAAUUCGAAUUUUAAUGCCCAUAAAUGGAGCUGUAUAGAAACAUAGCCAUGCCCAUGUGCUUAUGAAUUAUCUAUAGCUACUUUUGGGCUACAAUGGUUGAGUAGUUGCGAGAGAGACCAUAUGUGUCCCAGAGAACCUGAAAUAGUUACUCUCUGGCCUAUUACAGAAAAAGUUUGUUGACCCUUGCUCUAAUGCAUUUAGAGACAUGGCCUUACGUAAUU